AUGACAAAUCAGAUUACAUAAUGCCCUGGAUCACAACAAAGACACUGGCUUGUGAUUCUUCUUUCCUUCUGUCAAUGUGCUCCCUGACCUCUGCAUGGAUGUGCCCUCUAGGCAUGCCAUGUAUUUCCCCAAGAACUCAUCACUCUCUUCUUGCUUGAAUAUUUAUGAAUAGAAGUGCAAUGUAAUUCUUCCCCAUGCUCCUGCAUAGGUUAAAAUCCAUACACAGCCAGGAGCAACUUGUCGAAAAUUACCAUUUAAGUUUUCCUACCAGUUUAUUGUCUUAGCAGCUGCUGCUCAAGGAAAGCCCAUGUGUGGACAUAGGAAGAAAGUGUCAAUCUUCAAGUGAAGAGGAGAGCUCUCACAAGAAACUAAAUCAGCUGGAACCUUGAUCUUGGACUUCCAGCCAUCAGAACUGAGAGAAAAUUAAUUUUGUUGUUUAAGCAGUCUAUAUUUUUUAUGGUACCCCAAGCAGGCGAGCACAAUAUUCAAAGAAGGCAUUCAAUUCAGUUCAAUGCAAUUCAGUUCAAAUAUUUAUUUUGAGGCUGCUAUAUGCCAGAUACUGUUCUACUUUUCUAGUUAUUAGGAAGGUUCGAUCAGGGUGGGGACAGAUAGAAGUCAGUGGCUUCACAGUGGUUAUAUUCUAAUGAGAUAAAGCAGAGUAAAACUAAAAUAAAGUAUGUGUGUUAUGGGGAAAACUAAAGCAGGAAAGGGAAAUAAGGAGUGCUGCAAGUUAAAAUAACAUAGUCAUGAUGGGGCAUCCAUAUUUAGAAACUUAUAUUUGAGCAAAGACUUAAAGUGGAUGGAGAUGCUAGCUUGUACAUAUGUGGAAGAGAAGCACCAUAGGCAGAGAGAAGAGCAAGUGCAAGGGCCAUGGGGUAGGAAUCUAAUUCUCAAGCUCAAAAUUUAGGCAAGGAAGCCAGUAUGGCAAACAUGCUAUGUAAGAGAAGUUAACAGGAGUAAACAUCAAAGAAGUAAGGAACAUAUAUGUGGGAAUUUUCCAAAUUUCAUAAAUAAAGGGAGCGAUAUGAGAUGGCAUUGUAAAUUUUUUUAGAAAAGAAGAAACAUAGUCCAGAUAUGUUUUACAAGUGAUCAUUCUGGCUACAGUAUUAAGCAUAUAUUCCAGAGGAAGAGAUAAAAACUUGAGGUGCUGUUUUAAAGGCUUUUGCUAUUAGAAACCUUGGACCAGAGAGGAAGUAGUGGAUGGGUAAGUAAAUGUCUGAUUUUCUGUAUAUAUAUUUGAAGGGCAGCCAGCAUGUGAAUUUAAUGUGAUAUAUGAGACAGAGAAGGUAAAAAGAGACACCUGGGCCUAUGCAACUAGAGGAGUUGUGGAAGACUGUAUUAGGCAAAAUGGGGUGGCAAAAUUGACUGGAGGAGAUCAAGUUUGAGAUGUCUGUUAACUAUCCAAAUGGAUUUGGUAGGUAGGUGUAUUAGUCCAUUCUCAUGCUGCUAUAGGACAUACCGAAGACUGGGUAUUUAUAAAGGAAAGAGGAUUAACUGAUACACAGUUCUGCAGGGCUGGGAAGGCCUCAGGAAACUUACAGUCACGGCAGAAGGAGAAGCAAAUAUGUCCUUUUUUACAUGGUGGCAGGAUAAAGAAGGAUUAGUGCCCAAUGAAGGGGGAUGCCCCUUAUAAAACCAUCAGAUCUUGUGAGAACUAACUCACUAUAACGAGAACAUGAUGGGGGAAACUACUCCAUGAUUCAAUUAUCUCCAUCUGGUCCCUCCCACAACAUGUGGGGAUUAUGGGAACUACAAUUCAAAAUGAGAUUUGGGUGGGGAUACAGUCAAACCAUACCAAUCUGCCCCUGUUCCCUUCCAAAUCUCACGUCCUCACACUUCAAAACACAAUUAUGCCCUUCCAACAGUUCCCAAAGUCUUAACUCAUUCCAGCCUUUACUCAAAAGUCUAAGUCCAAAGUCUCAUCUGAGACAAGGAAAGUCUCUUCUGCUUAUGAGCCUGUAUAAUUAAAAGCAAGUUAACUACUUGCUAAAUACAAUGGGGGUACAGGAAUUGGGUAAAUACACCUGUUCGAAAUGGGAGAAAUUGGCCAAAACAAAGGGGCUACAGGCCCCAUGCAAGUCCAAAAUCCAGUAGGGCACUCAUUAAAAUGUAAAGUUCCAAAAUGAUCUCCUUUGACUCCAUGUCUUACAUCCAAGACAUGCUGAUGCAAGAGGUGGGCUCCCACAGCCUUGGGGAGCUCCACCCCUGCGGCUUUGCAAGUUAUAGCUCCCCUCUAGGCUGCUUUCAUGGCUGGGGUUAAGUGUCUGUGGCUUUUCCAGGUGCGUGUUGCAAGCUGUUGGUGAAUCUACCAUUCUGGGGUAUGGAGGAUGAUGGGCCUCUUCUCCAGCUCCACUAGGCAAUGCCCCAGUGGAGACUCAGUGCAGAGGCUCCAACCCCACAUUUCCCUUCUGCACUGCCCUAGCAGAAGUUCUCCAUGAGGGCUCUGCUCCUUCACUCCUGCUUUGACAUCCAGGCAUUUCCAUAUAACCUCUGAAAUCUAGGCAGAGGUUCCCAAACCUCAAUUCCUGUCUUCUGCCCACCUGCAGGCCCAACACCAUGUGGAAUCUGCCAAGGCUUAGGGCUUGCACCCUGUGAAGCAAUGGCCUGAGCUGUACUUAGUCCUUUUAGCCAUGGCUGGAGCUGAAGCAGCUGGGGUGCAGGGCACCAAGUCCUGAGGUUGCACACAACAGGGGCACCCUGGGCCUGACCCAUAGAGCCAUUUUUCCUUUGUAGGCCUCCAGGCAUGUGAUGGGAGGGGCUGCAGUGAAGGUCUCUGACAUACCCUGGAGAUAUUUUCCCCAUUAUCUUGGUUAUUAACAUUUGAUGCCUCAUUACAUAUGCAAAUUUCAGCAGCAGACUUGAAUUUCUCCCCAGAAAAUGGGGUUUCCUCUUCUAUUGCUUCAUCAGGCUGCAAAUUUUCCAAACUUUUAUGAUCUGCUUCCUCUUGAACACUUUGCUGCUUAGAAAUUUCUUCCACCAGGUACCCUAAAUCACCUCUCUCAAAUUCAAAGUUCCACAUGUCUCUAGGGCAGGGGCAAAAUGCCUCCGAUCUACUUUACUCCAGUUCCCAAGAAGUUCCUCAUCUCCAUCUGAGACCACCUCAGCCUGAACUUCAUGGCCCGUAUCACUGUAAGCAUUUUGGUCAACGCCAUUCAACAAGUCUCCAGGAAGUUCCAAACUUUCCCACAUUUUCCUGUCUUCUUCUGAGCCCUCCAAAUUGUUCCAACCUCAGUCUACUACUCAAUUCCAAAGUCACUUCUACAUUUUUGGGUAUCUUUACAGCAGCACCCCAUCACCCGGCACCAAUUUACUGUAUUAGUCUAUUCUCACGCUUCUAUAAGGGUAUACCUGAGACUGGGUAAUUUGUAAAGGAAAGAGGUUUAAUUGACUCACAGUUCGGCAGGGCUGGGAAGGCCUUAGGAAACUUACAAUCAUGGCAGAAGGGAGAGCAAACACAUCCUUCUUCACAUGGUGGCAGAGAGGAGAAUGAGUGUCCAGCAAAGGGGGAAGCCCCUUAUAAAACCAUCAGAUCUUAUGAGAACUAGCUCAAUAUCCUAAGAGCAGGAUAGGGGAAACUUCCCCCUGUGAUUCAAUUAUCUCCACCUGGUGUCUUCCACGAUGUGGAGAUUAUGGCAACUACAAUUCAAGAUGAUGUUUGGGCUGAGACACAGCCAAACCAUAUCAGUAGGCAAUUGGAUCUACAAGUAUUGUAUUCAUAGUAGAUGUAAAUGUGGGAGUCUUCUACAUGAAGCCUUCAUGAGAUUAUCAUGGAGUAAGUAUAGACAAAGGAGAAAGGCCAGUGGUCCUCGACACUCUCUAUAUUAAAGAGUUGAAGAUAUAAGGAGAAACCAGCAAGUGUGGAUGAAGAGGUGUGGUCAGUAAUUGAAGAAGGAAAACAUCAGUGGUGGUGUGUGGCCUUGAAAGCUAGACAGUAAAAAGUUCUUGUAGGGAGGGAGUAAUCAAUUGUGUCAAACAGAGCUGCAAUUUGAUGAGAACUGAUAAAUAACAUUGAAUUUAGCCAUAGUGGUAGUUGAUCGCCUUGUCAAGAAUAUUUUCAGUGUUUGGGGGAAAAUCUGACUGGAGUUGAUUUAAGGGAAAAAAAUCAGAGGAUAAAGAUUGAAGAGUUAAAGGAUUUAUAGAACAACAUGGGAAUAUGAUACUAGAACAGGUAAUAAUUCUUAGCUCUUUAUGCAUUAUAUCGCAGUUCAUUAAAUUCUUAUGGAAAUUCCUAAGGCAGAGACACUUACUUCUCUUAAAAUAGAAUAGUGACUUGAUAGGUGAAAUAUCAUGCCGCAGUGAAAAGUUAGAACUGCAAGGAUUACACACAAAUGACAUUUGUCUGAUGCCUGACUGUCACAUUCCAGGAGAACAGAAAAUAAAAAUAUUACUUACAAAAUGCCAUUUGAGUUCAUUUUCAAAGAAUGAAAAGUGGGGAGAGAAUAUGCUAAGUAUAGAUAGUGAUGAGAUAGGAAAAAGAAGUGAAAAUGGUUCUGAAUAUGUCUUGGGUUUUUUUCCAGAUUAACUUUCUUUUUUGCUUGAUUUUCUUUAGAUCUGUUUUAAUUUUCUGUAGAUUUCUGACUAUGAGCUUGCAAUAAUUUACAUAGUCUAUGCAAUCAUUCUAAGGAAAAAAAAAGCUCAGAAAAGAAGAAUUUGAUUACACUGAGAGAUAAAAGACUUGUAGGAACAAGCUAAAAAUAAAAUUUUAAAUGUAAUAUCAAUUGAAAACAGAUAACUUUAACUAUUCUCCAUUAAAUACUUAUUGAAUUAUUUUCUUGUUUUGUGUAUUUAGCAAUUUAACAUUGGUAUAAGCAUGAACCUGAAAUAAUGUAACAGGUUUAUAAAUUUAUAUAUAUGCUAAGAUAUGUUCAU